GCAGUUAUUCUGAUGGGGGUUCUAAUGAGGCAGUUAUUCUGAUGGGGGUUCUAAUGAGGCAGUUAUUCUGAUGGGGGUUCUAAUGAGGCAGUUAUUCUGAUGGGGGUUCUAAUGAGGCAGUUAUUCUGAUGGGGGUUCUAAUGAGGCAGUUAUUCUGAUGGGGGUUCUAAUGAGGCAGUUAUUCUGAUGGGGGUUCUAAUGAGGCAGUUAUUCUGAUGGGGUUCUAAUGAGGAAGUUAUUCUGAUGGGGUUCUAAUGAGGCAGUUAUUCUGAUGGGGUUCUAAUGAGGCAGUUAUUCUGAUGGGGUUCUAAUGAGGAAGUUAUUCUGAUGGGAUUCUAAUGACACUAAACAAUACAUGAAUUGCACUAUAACGG
rnacentral:lncRNA from 1 species